ACCCUCUUUUGGUGUGCCUUAGGUGGUUUGAUAUUGGGUGGAAUUGUUGUCAUUUCAUACUGGAUAAGACGAUGCAGGACACUUGCAGCGAGGUCCACGACCCGGCAGCGACGCAUCCGGAGCCGGAGCUCAUCAUCAGCUGCCACCGGGAUCAGCGGGAUCAGUGCCAUCGGAAUAAUCUCCAGAGGGAAAGCAAAGUCAUCACCCGAUCACAAUCAUCGGCGUCGACCGCGCCGCAUGCUCCAGUGCAUCAACUGAAGCAGCAGCAAUCUCUGCCCACACCUCUGACCCAGCAGCCCAGCCACAAUCCGCACCACAACCCCCAGACCCCCAAGUCCGUCUCCAUUCUCGUCUACAAGACCCUGAACACCGUCUUCAAGAGCAGCCGCAAGAUCAUCGUUCGUGUGUGUGAGGUGGCCAGCGCCAAGAAGUCCUUCACCAUGUUCAAGUUCAACAAGGCCGCCCAGCAGCAGCGGAUCGACAAUCGGAACAGUGCCGUCACUGGACACGAUCCCUUCGUCCGACCACCAGUGCCCGAAAAGAAAGUGAGGAACAUCAUGAAGAAGCUGCACAAGGCGAACGGCCUCAAACGCUCCAACUCGGCGAUCGAGUUCGAUGUCUCGGCCCUGACAGCUGCCAAUCGCCGACAGAUCUACAGUAGCAAUCGGUCGGCGAGCUCGGAGCAAGAUAACUCAGAUCUGUCCGAGCACUCGGAGAAAUCGCCGCUGGUUAGCGCGAGGUUAGACAAUCUAGCUAGGCUCUUCUUUAGCAAGUCGAUGCCAGCGGAAACCGGAAGUAGAGAUACCAUAGAUUCAGUACUGACAACAAGGCCCAACAUCAAGUACCAGUACUCCGCCUUGGACAGUGGCAAUGGGAUCGUGGAGCGAAGUCCCCGGGAGCGGGCUCAGAGGGAGAAGGCGCUGAAUGCCACUCAGGAAUGGAUUCAGGGUGCCAAUGGGCGCUACGAAGUGAUUGCCCACCUGGAUGAGAUCGGUUCAAGACAUGGCAAGAACUGGUUUCUGGUCACAGAUGCCUCGGUGCGCACGGAUCGUCUGCAGACUCUGCUACCUCUGCCCGCCGACUGUGUGGCCUUCGAGGAUCUCCCGCCCAACGAAAGCGCCAGGGAAAUACUCAUGGAGCUCCUGGGUUCGCUGCAUCAUCCGUACAUUUACCCCGUUCUGGAUUUGGGCUUUUUGCGCAACAGCUCCUAUAACUACGCCUGCCUGGUGACGCCCUUCAACUCGCGGGGCAGUCUCAAAGAUCUCAUAUAUAAGGCGCAGUGGAACGAGCCGUGGGCCAGGAAGUACACGCGAAAGCCAAAUGGCUUACCGGUGAGCCAGGUGCAGCGCCUGGGGCGACAGAUCCUGGAGGCACUGCUCUUCCUGAAGGAGCGCGGUUUUCCGCUUCACGGUCACCUGCACAGCGGCAAUGUCAUCCUGCAGAACGGGGCAGCCAGGCUAUCGGGCCUGGAGAACGGCCUCCUGGGCCUCAGUUCUCGCAUUAACGCCGUCAUGUGGUCCCGCUCGGUCACCGAGAUCGAGAACGUGGACAUCGUCUGCUUCGGCCACCUGCUCUACGAGAUGUGCACGGGCCAGGAGCUGACCACCCCCAAGCCGUCCAUGCGGGUGCUCGAGAUGGAGCUGCAGCACUAUCCACAAAUUGGCCAGAUUCUGGAAAUACUAGGCCUGAUCUUUGAGCCGCCCAGCGGUGUCUGCCCCUCCGUUGAGGACCUAGUCCUUUGCGAUCUGUUUCGCAGCAUCGACUUGCGCGAGCUUCGCGGUCCCUGUUUCAGUACAAUUAAGCCGAGCCUCAGCAGGUCCACCCUGAACCUGCUGCAAGCGGUGAAGAAGCGCCAAUGCGCCUCCCUGGGCCACUCCCUCAGCGAGGCCAACUCCCCCUGCACGCCCCCUUCGACGCCGCACGAUCGACGAACUGGUGUUCUGCCUGCGCCCUAUGAAGUCUUUCGUAUGUACUAAACCAAACCAAACCAAACCGAACCGAACCGAACCAAAACCAAAGAAAUCCGAACCCGAAACCCAAAACCAACAAUGAACAACUCACAAAUAUAUCUCACAAUUCAAAUUUACAAAACGAAUAUCGUGUGAAAUAAAACCCAAAUGAAUACCUGAAUAAAAUUAAAUUAAAUCAAUAUACAAGCCGAUAAAGCAAACACAACAUUUUUUUGUACGAAAAUUAAUGUUUUUAUGCCAGACGGAAACGAAUCUAAUGCUGCAAAAAGUAAUUCACAGUGUUUGUUGUAGCCAAAUGUGUAUCAGCCGAACAAUGGACUCAUUUGACAUAUCAAGCGAUUCGGAGGAGGGUCUCCUGGAGGAGAUUGUCG
rnacentral:misc_RNA from 1 species